rnacentral:rRNA from 1 species
CAGCCGCCACGGUAAUACGUAGGGUGCAAGCGUUAAUCGGAAUUACUGGGCGUAAAGCGUGCGUAGGCGGCUUUUUAAGUCGGAUGUGAAAUCCCUGAGCUUAACUUAGGAAUUGCAUUCGAUACUGGGAAGCUAGAGUAUGGGAGAGGAUGGUAGAAUUCCAGGUGUAGCGGUGAAAUGCGUAGAGAUCUGGAGGAAUACCGAUGGCGAAGGCAGCCAUCUGGCCUAAUACUGACGCUGAGGUACGAAAGCAUGGGGAGCAAACAGGAUUAGAUACCCCCGUAGUCCCUGUCUCUUAUAC